GUGUGUAUCAUCAUUGUUGUUAACAUCCGCUUUCCAUGCUGGCAUGGGUUGGACAGCUUGACUGAGGACUGGUGAGCCAGAAGGCUGCACCAGGCUCAGCCUGAUCUGGCAAAGUUUCUACAGCAGGAUGCCCAGCAUUAAUCAUGUUCUAUGGACACAAAUGUGUCUCUUGAGGCCUGCUGGUGCCUUGCAAACCAUUUGGCAAAUGGAACAAGUUGAGGACUCAGUUUGCUUGAGUGCUUUUGGAUCAUUUACUAUGUGUUUUCUUGAGUGGAUGGCAAGGCUUUCUUUGCUUCAUGCCACAAAACCAUGAUGGGAAAGGUUUCCAUUUAGAGGAGCAGUAUUUUGCUUACAUGAAGUUGGUUCUGAUGUUGUUGUCAACUUUGCUCAAAUCUUUGAACUGAAGAAAAGCAGGACCAGCACCAGGUUCUGGAUUCUAAUGUAUGUGUGUGUGUGUGUAACAGCUGCUGGACUGGAUAGCAUUCUACCUGAAGUUUGGAAAACAGGAAAAUUCAAUGAUAUUGUGUUAGGCUUUGACAAUAAGGUCUACAAUGGAGGCAAUAUGGACAAAUAGACAGAAUACUGCAUACUCCCAUUUCCCAAGAAAGGCAAUUUCUCACAAAGAACUACAAAGGUAUCAUUCUUACAACAAUCACUGCAAAAAUUUAUAAUUCAUUCCUACUCAACAGGAUACAAUCAGAAAUUAAGUUUUGGCAAGAAAUUAAAAUAGCUUCAGAAAGAAUAGAUUAACUAUUGGAAGAAGUAAAAGCCAGAAAUCUUGAAGCAGUAUUACUGUUCGUUGAUUUCUCAAAGGCUUUUGACUCCAUCCAUCAUGGUAAAAUGGAAAAAAUACUACCGGUCUAUGGUAUUCUUGAAUAAACAACAACAGCAAUUAUGAUGUUCUAUAGCAAUAUCAAAGCCUGAAUACUCCAGGAGUACAUACUGGCACCUUUUCUCUUUGUGAUCACUGUGGGCUUUGUCCUCAGAACAUCACUUGACAAUCUAAACUUUCUCAGUUUCACACUCGCAAAAAAGAAGAUUGAUCAAACAUCUGGGCCAAAAGAUAACCAAUUUAGACUAUGCUGAUAAUUUAGCCUUGCUCUCUGACACAAUAUCCAACUCCACUCACUUACAUCACAGUCUAGAAUUAGCUUCACAUGAUGUUGGACUACUCGUUAAUCCUAGUAAAACCAAGUUCAUUGUUCACAAUCAGCAAAGAUGCAUCCCCAACCUCAGUGGAAAAAAUAAGUGCUAGGGUUGGUAUGUUUAACUAAAAUUCUUAGGCAGUGCUCCAGCAUGGUUGCAGUCUAAAAGACUGAAAUAAAUAAAAGAUGCACACACACAUACAUGUGCACACUCGUUUGUUUGUUUGUAUGUAUGUGUUUGUGCCUCCUUGUCUUGUUAUUGAGCAAUAAUUGUAAACAAUCCUCACCUUCACAUAAGCAGUGUUGUUCAUUUCUAAUCUUCUGUGUAAGCAGGCCUGGCCAUGGGGAAAUAUUACCUUAUUUGGAAAUAGAAGUUGGCAACAGGAAGAGUGUCCAGCCAUAGAAAAUUAUCAUUCAAUGAAUUCUGUCUGACCCAUGCAAGUGUGGAAAAGUGGACAUUAAAAUGAAGAUGACAUUGAUGAGGAUGAUGGUGAUGAUAUAUAUCACAGAUUUAGAUAAAUAAAUGCUGACACUAAUGUGUGUUUGUUUAGGGAUUUAUUUGAAUUAGUUUUGAGAUAUCAGCAGAGAAUCUAAUUUACUUUUCAUAGAUUAAAACACAUUUUAGCCAAGGUCUGUUGAACACUUCAACAAUUUUCCCUAUUCAUAAGAAUUAAUUUUUUUUAUUGCUAUUGAAAUACUUCUUAUCAAUUCCAUUGGUAAAACUUUAAAUGUUCAUUUGAGCAAAACCUAUCUUAUGAUAGGUUCCUAUACAUCCAAUCUGUUAAUGUUAGCUCACCAUGUAUGUAAUUGUCUCUCUAUCUUUUCUGUAACUGUAACCUAUCCUACCUACUCAGUAUCUGUCUGUCCAUCCAUCUUAGCUGUUUUACUUCCAGUCAUCCCUUGUAUAUAUUAAGCCAUUUUGCUAUGAACACCCUUAAUUUCUUCAACUCACCAGUCAUAGAAUUCUCUGAAGAUUUCAUUUUACAGCAGGUUUAACAUUCAAAAUACACUAUUUCUACUUCUGAAAACUGUAUGAAAAUCAAUAUUCUUGUUUAUGUGUAUGAGUCAUGUGUGUGUGUUUAAAUCAUGAACCAUGUUUAAAUUUUUCUCACAAAAUACAGUGAAG
rnacentral:lncRNA from 1 species